rnacentral:rRNA from 1 species
ACGCUGGCGGCGUGCCUAAUACAUGCAAGUAGAACGCUGAAGGAGGAGCUUGCUCUCUCUGGAUGAGUUGCGAACGGGUGAGUAACGCGUAGGUAACCUGCCUGGUAGCGGGGGAUAACUAUUGGAAACGAUAGCUAAUACCGCAUAACAGUAGAUGUUGCAUGACAUUUGCUUAAAAGGUGCAAUUGCAUCACUACCAGAUGGACCUGCGUUGUAUUAGCUAGUUGGUGGGGUAACGGCUCACCAAGGCGACGAUACAUAGCCGACCUGAGAGGGUGAUCGGCCACACUGGGACUGAGACACGGCCCAGACUCCUACGGGAGGCAGCAGUAGGGAAUCUUCGGCAAUGGACGGAAGUCUGACCGAGCAACGCCGCGUGAGUGAAGAAGGUUUUCGGAUCGUAAAGCUCUGUUGUAAGAGAUGAACGAGUGUGAGAGUGGAAAGUUCACACUGUGACGGUAUCUUACCAGAAAGGGACGGCUAACUACGUGCCAGCAGCCGCGGUAAUACGUAGGUCUCGAGCGUUGUCCGGAUUUAUUGGGCGUAAAGCGAGCGCAGGCGGUUAGAUAAGUCUGAAGUUAAAGGCUGUGGCUUAACCAUAGUACGCUUUGGAAACUGUUUAACUUGAGUGCAAGAGGGGAGAGUGGAAUUCCAUGUGUAGCGGUGAAAUGCGUAGAUAUAUGGAGGAACACCGGUGGCGAAAGCGGCUCUCUGGCUUGUAACUGACGCUGAGGCUCGAAAGCGUGGGGAGCAAACAGGAUUAGAUACCCUGGUAGUCCACGCCGUAAACGAUGAGUGCUAGGUGUUAGACCCUUUCCGGGGUUUAGUGCCGUAGCUAACGCAUUAAGCACUCCGCCUGGGGAGUACGACCGCAAGGUUGAAACUCAAAGGAAUUGACGGGGGCCCGCACAAGCGG